rnacentral:lncRNA from 1 species
GUCACGCCCCGAACCCCGAGCGCGUGCACAUCCCACUACGGUCGAUCAAAAAUGCGACAUCCCAGGAAAUGUCGCCGACCCAUUAAUUUCUUUACGCAUGCGGAAGCGAAACAAAUCCCCUGACAACAUUUAACUUGGGAUAGAAAAGCAGGCAAUCAAUCGCAAUACCAAACACCCAUUUACAAACACAAAGGGUUUAAAUACAACACUGGACUUUCUACAAAAUAGACCAGCUCGACGAAAUGGGAACUAUCCUACAACCAACUAGCAGGACAUGCUCUCCAACCCUUAUGACUUCACCUCUGCAACUCCUCAAGGCCAACCAAAGCUAUCUGGCCACUCCGUCCACCAGGGACCUGAAAUUUUAAUCCCACAACCGGGAUGAGACGAUGUCUCAGCAAGUUCGACCCCCUAAACCCCUAUUAGAAAGAAAAUACGCCCCGGGUGGCAUAGCCACAUCACACAGAAGACUUACCUCGCCUCAGCCUUUAUCUGCAGGUUAGCACAAUUUAUAUAAACCAACCACGUGCAAUUAUGAUAACCAAACAACCAUGGCACAAUCACAUUAUCAAACCGUUCAACCACUUGGAUCGUCUCAGCGAUCAAUCGACUCGGCCGAUUACAUGUCAUUCUAGCAAAUCAAUCAUUGCUCUCAACUACGGCCCUACUCGGCAAAUUUAAAUCAGUGGCAUCACGGCCCCACUCGGCACGACCUGUAAUCAGGUGGUAAUUCACGGCCUCAUCGGGCACGACCUCUUGUAGGUGGUUUUUCACGGCCUCAUCGGGCACGACCUUUCCAAGGUGGUUUAUCACGGCCUCUCUGGGCACGACCUCUCAUAGGUGGUUUAUCACGGCCUCUCUGGGCACGACCUUUCAUAGGUGGUUUAUCACGGCCUCUCUGGGCACGACCUCUCAUAGGUGGUUUAUCACGACCUCUCUGGGCACGACCUCUCAUAGGUGGUUUAUCACGGCCUCUCUGGGCACGACCUCUAAUAGGUGGUAUUUCACGGCCUCAUCGGGCACGACCUCUUGUAGGUGGUUUUUCACGGCCUCAUCGGGCACGACCUUUCCAAGGUGGUAUUUCACGGCCUCACUGGGCACGACCUCUAAUAGGUGGUCAAUCACAGCCAAUCUCCCAUCAAUUUAUACACUUAGGAUUUCAUAAAGAAUCCCUAUAAAUCACAAUCACACUCAAUUCAUCACAACCAAUCAUCAAUUUCAAAUUCUAAAUGCACAGCAACGAUCGGCACGAAAUUCUGAGCAAAUAAGGUCCCAAUGAAGAUUUUCAGAAUUUAAUAAAUAAUUAAAUUUAUUCCGAAAAUAAUUAAAUAAUAAUAUCCACAGUUUUCAAAAUCCACACUCAAUUUAUAAUAUCCAAUCAUCAAUUUCAAAAUCCGAAUGUACCGUAGCGACCGGCACGAAAUUAUGAGCAACCGGGGUCAAAAAUAAUUUUUCUGAUUUUUUUUUAAAAUAAUAAUGUUUUACUAAUUUCGGAUUAUAAUAUAAUAUAAUAUUUUCCAGAAUUUCGAAGCACUUAAAUAAUUCAAAACUAAAAUCAUUUUGUGUCACAUCAAUGCUUAACUUUAAAUAAACUCUCUUAGCAUUUAAUUAAACAUACUUUAGAUUAAACAAACAUCUUAAUCUAAAUCAUAAUUAAAUCAACUAAAUUAACCAGCUAAGCUUAAUCAACUUAAGCUAAGCACACCUAAAGCAUAAUUAACCCUCUAAGCGAGGUUUAGUGAGCUAAACUCACCGGAUUAGCGAGCCGAGCGAACCAAAACGACGAGGACGACGCGAGGAUCGACUUUCCUCAAAGCGGGCCGAGCAUCCGGGCUCGGGAAGGCGGCCAAAACGGGCCAAGAAGGGGCUGCCAUACCCAUUUUCUGCAGCUGCUGUCCAUGGCGGUUUGAGGCCGAGAAUGGGCGGAUCCGGCGCCGGUUGAGACGGCCAAGGGCGGCGGAGGCAAGGCGAAGCUCCGGCGGGCUAAGGCGGGGCGCACGGUGGCCGGAGGUGAGCUGGACGGCUCCGGCUGAGCUUCCCCAGAUCUGGA